AGAAGAGAUGUUUGAGUUUGUUGGUUGUGCCUUGAAGAAGGAGUCAGUGCUAUGAGGAACUGCCUAUGAGAAAUCACCGAGACGAAGGACCAUAUAGUCACAAUGCCUACUGGAAUUGUUUGAUUCAGCAAAUCAUGAGGAUGGUCAUUUUAUGGCAAAUAGAAUAAAGGAGGGUUCUGCACACUGGCAGCCUGGAGGGCUGUGCCACACAUCUUCUCCAAAUGGGAUCUGUGUGCAAGGACUCUGUAAAGGGAAGGAUGGCUCCCCAGCUGCCUCUGGACAUUAGCUGAUGGUUUUAAACAUUCCUCCACAUCCUGAGAGCAGCAGUGCAGAACCACCUACUAAAUCCUCCAGCACAGAGCAAUCUCUUUCUCUUUGGAGGGAAAGGAGUGUGAAGCCAAGUGAGCAGUGAGAAAAGCUGAAUUCUCUGCUCCUGCUUCAUAUCAAAGUGUGCAGGGUUUUUCCCCUGUGUGUUUCUUCUGAGAAGAGUGUCUCAUGCAGAACAAGAGUAUAUUCUUUUAUUUUAAAUCAGAUGCUGAAUUACUGCAGUGAACAUCUAACUUGCACUACUUGUUAAUGUCUAGAACAAACCCCAAAAAACUUUUUGGGAUAUUCAUCCUGCCUGUAUUGCUGUCAUCCACCUGCUGGUAUUGUAACCCACAGGCUCCCUGUGUCCCAUUAGCCUCUGUAAGAAAAACCAUUGCACUGAGUUAUGACAAUGCCAAAUUAUAAUAAGGUAGCAAAAAUUAGUAAAAAUUAGUGUGUUUUUAAGUUUGAAAGGACAGGUUUGCUCGUGAGCCGCUUAGAAGCAAAGUGAAAAAAAGGAUUUUUUUUGUCAGUUUGUCUUUGGGAUGAGUGAUUUAGAAGCACAAAUGUAUGUGGAGCCUCUACAAGGAGGUACCAGUCAAAAUGCUGCUGGAAAUGUUGGCUGUACAUCUUUGCACUUAAAUUACUGGACCCCAAUUUGUAUCGCUGUGGUCCAGGUUUCUUUUGUUGGUGGCAUUUCUCACCUCAGCCCACUGGUUAAACAUCCUUGCUCACAUAUCAAACAGCAUCUAAGAGUCAAAAUAAAAUCUGUGAAGGGUUAUAAAAGGGGACUUUAAACUGUAAUUCUAACUUUAUAAAAGACUACCUGCAUAUCCAGAACUUCACAAAUAACUGAGUUCAGAUUGCUUCCCUUUGGCGCAGGGGAAUCCUACAAGAUGAGCUUGCUGCUAGUUGCUCUAAAUCUUCCCAGAUUUUAUCAAGCAUUAUUUUGCUGUCUUUACAACUGAAAAAUAUUGUAUGCAAUACAUGAUUUUACAACAAGAAUUCUAAAAAUAAAAAUAGCAGAGAGGUAUGGUGUUGCAGC